rnacentral:rRNA from 1 species
UACGUAGGGUGCAAGCGUUAUCCGGAAUUAUUGGGCGUAAAGAGCUCGUAGGCGGUUUGUCGCGUCUGCUGUGAAAACUGGAGGCUCAACCUCCAGCCUGCAGUGGGUACGGGCAAACUAGAGUGCGGUAGGGGAGAUUGGAAUUCCUGGUGUAGCGGUGAAAUGCGUAGAGAUGUGGAGGAACACCAAUGGCGAAGGCAGGUCUCUGGGCCAUUACUGACACUGAGGAGCGAAAGCGUGGGGAGCGAACAGG